AAGUCGUAACAAGGUUUCCGUAGGUGAACCUGCGGAAGGAUCAUUAACACGUAUCCAAACGUUAAACAACCCCGUGAACAUACAACCUGCUCUGGUCGCCCGCUCGCAUGGACAAGCCCAGUAAAUCAAGCCCCGGAAAGUUUUUGAUUUGGGACCUCUGUGCGCGUGAGAAAAACUGACAGCGAUUCAUAGAAGCGGUAGGUCAAGUGACACGGCGUCCCCAAGUGACCAGUGAAUGAAAGUGUCGCUGGAUUGCUACGGCUUCCGUGUAUACUGAGCUUAACAUCGCUCCCUUCCGAACCCCACUUUAUUGCCUUGCCUGUAAGCAUCCGCCCCCCGAACAACUGUUAACAAUGGAUAUCUUGGUUCUC
rnacentral:misc_RNA from 1 species